CGAGCAUAAACCCUUGGAACCCUGUAGGAGUUUGUAAGAGGUCUCAUAGGUAGAUAGCUUUGAUAUCUGACUUUUCUGUUGGUUUUGGAGAGGAGGCCUAUUCUGCUCAUGGUUCGAGAAAUUAUCCAGAAGAAGUAUACAUGCAGAAUCUACUUGGGCUAUGGAGAUGAAUCUGUUGCCUAUUUACCAUGAGAAGCAUGAUUACCUUCAGGAAGAGGCACCUGAAUCCCCAGCAGUGAGAAGGGAGAAGCAUGUGGG
rnacentral:lncRNA from 14 species